rnacentral:misc_RNA from 1 species
UUAAGUUCAGCGGGUAUCCCUACCUGAUCCGAGGUCAAUAAUAAAAAAUGUGCUUCUGGAGAGCCGAUCUACCAGGACCUAGGGCGCAAAUGUGCUGCGCUCACGGCCGGCGGAUGCGGGCUGCCAAUGACUUUGAGGUGAGUCGCCGCGCGGAGGCGGGACAAGCACCCAACACCAAGCUGAGCUUGAGGGUUUAAAUG